UCACUUAAGGACCCAGAUUAAAAGGGCCUUGAGCUAGAUGUGACGGUGUUCCGUGAGAAGCAUGGGAAGGGAGCAGAGAGGGUUGUUACAUUUGAAGGAACAUACACUCAGAGAAGGUUCUUAGCAUGUGCAGAGCCUAUAUGUUUUUUGCCUUAUUGAUUAUGCACAUGAUUUUGUUCAUUUGAGUACUCUGUUCAUUCAAAGUGGCAUAGUCUGGUUUGAUAACUGUGAUUCAGUAAUGUCAAUUGUUAGUGAUAUAUGGCCAAGUAGUUGAAUGGUAGUGCACAUUGUAGAAUUCCAUUAUAUUAAAAUGGUCAAUUCUAAGUUGAAUGUAGU
rnacentral:lncRNA from 1 species